ACCUUCCACUAGUUCAGGUUGCUCCAAGCCCCGUCCAACCUGCCCUUGGACACUUCCAGGGAUGGAGUUACAACUUCUAUACCUGUAGAAGUUUGAGUUACACACAGCCCCUUUAAGAGACCCUGCUCAAUCACUCAGACCUUUCAGAGGAGGAGUUAUACAAUGGCUAUUGUGUGAAAACAAAACAUUAGUGAGGAGGAAAUUCCUCCAGGGAUCUCACAUCUGGGAGUGACUUGGGAUAAGCUGCAGUGACCAGCAAGGAAUCCUCCUGCACAGACUGGGUCUAACUGUGCUUCUGCCCCAGGGGUUGCUUCAGGGAGACCCCCCCUCUUAGCAAGGCACAAAUCCACCUGGCUGGGCUGCAAAACUUCAUCCAUAAGCAGCAGAAUGUUUAAAAAAGUCACCAGAUACGUUGUAAACCAAGGGGAUCCAAACCAAGAAUGGGUCCCUGUCGAGAGCAUCACAGACAACGAGCACUUCAGACCCUUGUGUCUUCUGACACAAAAAAGAAAACCAAAAACCGAAUUCCACCCAGGUCCCUACUACCAGUGCACAAACUUUAGUCUGGACGAUGUGCUGCUGCCUGAAGAAGAUGGGAUAAGCACAGAGUCCCUCCUUCCCUCCGGAGAUGGUCCAGAUUACAACAGAUUAGCUCUCACAAAGGUCACUGCUGACAAAGUCAAGGGGGAUCUCAGCCUUAGUGUUGACCCUGCAAGUGUGGAGCUGAAAGGAAGUGGCUCCUUGUCCCAGGAGUUUUCCAUCAAGCUGCAGAAGAAGGCCAUAAAAAUGAACUCACUGGAGACAAUGAGAAAGAAAAG